GGCACGAUAGCCUAGUGGUCAAGGUAACGGACUCGCGUUCAUGUGUUCGAGCCUUGUGCCG
rnacentral:tRNA from 1 species